rnacentral:rRNA from 1 species
UACGUAGGGGGCAAGCGUUGUCCGGAUUUAUUGGGCGUAAAGAGCGUGUAGGCGGCCAGGUAGGUCUGCUGUGAAAACUCGAGGCUCAACCUCGAGACGUCGGCGGAAACCAUCUGGCUAGAGUCCGGAAGAGGAGAGUGGAAUUCCUGGUGUAGCGGUGAAAUGCGUAGAUAUCACUUGGAACGCCAAUGGUGAAGACAGCUCGCUGGGGGUGUCCUGACGCUGAGGCGCGAAAGCCAGGGGAGCGAACGGG